rnacentral:rRNA from 1 species
GGCUCAGAAGCAGCCACCAUUUAAAGAGUGCGUAAUAGCUCACUGGUCGAGAGACCCUGCGCCGAAGAUUCCCGGGGCUAAAGUACGAAACCGAAGCUGUGGCUGUAUACGUAAAGUAUACGGGGUAGGGGAGCGUUCCCAUAGGGUAGAAGUCGAACUGGAAGGUUCGGUGGACUUGUGGGAAGUGAGAAUGUUGGUAUGAGUAGCGAAAAGAAAGGUGAGAAUCCUUUCCACCGAAAGCAUAAGGAUUCCUGAGCAACGAUCGUCGUCUCAGGGUAAGUCGGGACCUAAUCCGAGGCAGAGAGCGUAGGAGAUGGACAACUGGUUGAUAUUCCAGUACCGGUAGUAAUUGUUUGAGCAAUGGAGUGACACAGAAGGGCAGGCAAGCAUGCGAAUGGAAGAGCAUGUGUAAGCGUGUAGGGUGGUGCAUAGGCAAAUCCGUGCACUGAAAGCCUGAGGCGUGAUGCGGAGUGAGCAGAGAUGCGAGCGAAGUUGUUGACCCCACACUGUCGAGAAAAGCUUCUAGUGAGAGAGCUACCGCCCGUACCGUAAACCGACACAGGUAUGCGGGGAGAGAAUCCUAAGGUGCGCGGGAGAACCCUCGUUAAGGAACUCGGCAAAAUGUACCCGUAACUUCGGGAUAAGGGUAGCCACUGUUGUGAAGUCCCAUGCGGAUGGAGCAUAGAGUGGUCGCAGAGAAGAGGCCCAAGCGACUGUUUACCAUAAACACAGGUGCCUGCUAAAGCGAAAGCUGACGUAUAGGUGCUGACACCUGCCCAGUGCCGGAAGGUUAAGGAAGGAUGUUCGGAUUAGUCCAAAGCAUUCGACUGAAGCCCCGGUGAACGGCGGCCGUAACUAUAACGGUCCUAAGGUAGCGAAAUUCCUUGUCGGGUAAGUUCCGACCCGCACGAAAGGUGUAACGAUUUGGGCACUGUCUCAACGAGGGACCCGGUGAAAUUGAAGUACCUGUGAAGAUGCAGGUUACCCGCGACUGGACAGAAAGACCCCAUGGAGCUUUACUGUAACCUGACAUUGGGUUUUGAUACAUUACGUACAGGAUAGGUGGGAGGCUUGGAAAGCUGGACGCUAGUCUGGCUGGAGCCGACGUUGGGAUACCACCCUUGAUGUAUUGAAAUUCUAACCGCGAGAGUAACGAAAUCCGGGACAGUGUCAGGCGGGCAGUUUGACUGGGGCGGUCGCCUCCGAAAGAGUAACGGAGGCGCCCAAAGGUUCCCUCAGCGCGGCCGGAAAUCGCGCGAAGAGUGUAAAGGCAGAAGGGAGCUUGACUGCGAGUCAAACACGACGAGCAGGUACGAAAGUAGGGCUUAGUGAUCCGGUGGUACCGAGUGGAAGGGCCAUCGCUCAACGGAUAAAAGCUACCCUGGGGAUAACAGGCUAAUCUCUCCCAAGAGUCCAUAUCGACGGGGAGGUUUGGCACCUCGAUGUCGGCUCAUCACAUCCUGGGGCUGAAGUCGGUCCCAAGGGUUGGGCUGUUCGCCCAUUAAAGUGGUACGUGAGCUGGGUUCAGAACGUCGUGAGACAGUUCGGUCCCUAUCCAUCGCGGGCGCAAGAGAUUUGAAGGGGGCUGCUCCUAGUACGAGAGGACCGGAGUGGACGAACCGCUGGUGUACCAAUUAUCCCGCCAGGGGUACAGUUGGGUAGCUACGUUCGGAAAGGAUAAACGCUGAAAGCAUCUAAGCGUGAAACCAGCCUUAAGAUGAGAUCUCUCAUAGAGCAAUCUAGUAAGACACCUUAAAGAAGAUGAGGUUGAUAGGUCGGGAGUGUAAGUACAGCAAUGUAUUGAGCGGACCGAUACUAAUAUGUCGAGGGCUUGACUUA